GCCUAUGUAGUGUAGUGGCUUGAGUGUUGGACUACAACUCUGGAGACCAGGGUUCAAUUCCCAGCUCAGCUA